rnacentral:rRNA from 1 species
GAUGAACGCUGGCGGCGUGCCUAAUACAUGCAAGUCGAACGCACAGCGAAAGGUGCUUGCACCUUUCAAGUGAGUGGCGAACGGGUGAGUAACACGUGGGUAACCUACCAUCAGCGGGGGAUAACACUUGGAAACAGGUGCUAAUACCGCAUAAUUCUUUUCUUCGCCUGAAGGGAAGAUGAAAGACGCUUUUGCGUCACUGAUGGAUGGACCCGNGCUGCAUUAGCUAGUUGGUGGGUAACGGCUCACCAAGGCCACGAUGCAUAGCCGACCUGAGA